AUAUGCCCAACCCUCUGUUCUGAACUAGUCAUCGAAUUAAUGAAUGAACUGAGCUGCUCCAGCUCCUUCGUUCUCGGUCAAUCCCUUUGCCAUUUCCUAUCUCUAUCCUGUGAUUCUUUAGCUACUGCUCGGGACAUCACAGGUCGGGGAUGCUAGGGAUGCGGGCGAGCACCGCGGCAGCAUCUCUACGGCGGAUGGGCACGGAGCCACGGACGCGCACCUCUACGGCGACCCGAACGACGCCGCCAUCCCGACGCUCCUCCGCUCCCGCUUCCACGCGCUCAAGCACCCCCUCGCCCUCAUCUCUCAGGGCGUCGACGUCGCCCACCUCUCCCCGCAGGCAGUCAAGAACGUGGCGGCGAGGUCGCUGAAGCUGAAGAAGCUCGUCUCGUCCACCUCUACCUGCUCCACUAGGCCGAGAGGUGCUACUGCAAGGCUGGAUUCAAUUGGUGAAUCCUACACUAGGAGCAGCGUCAGGCCACAACAUUUGUGGACCGGGAAUGCAAGACGGAUCACCUCCAUGUGGGCUGUUGUUGCAAGGUCACGAUGCUGCACCAAAGCUAACUCAGUAGGAGUAAUUUAUUCCCGUCCAAAUAUUUAUUAUUGAUCACUGCUGCUUCAUCUGUCUAUUCUCAUUUAACUAUAAUAUAUUUACUGGCCUUUUGAAUGUUUGGCUAAUUCUUUUUAUCUUUUGGGCCUUUACGGGAAGGAAAGAUGAAUUUAGAAGAGUUAAAUUUAGAGUUAUUGUAGUGUCUGCCCCGCAAGAACAAAAAGAGAAUUAGUGCAGUGUCUCAUGUCUGUUGGACCCAAUCUAAUUGUGCACACUAAAUAUACAUGCAUGCUGUAAGACAUGGUCACAUGGAUGAUUGGCAUCUUUUGACAAAGGCAUGUUAAUUUACUGGAAAAAUGCUACGGCACCUAUGACUAUGAGCGUAGAU